UUGUAGUCUGCAACUCGACUACAUGAAGCUGGAAUCGCUAGUAAUCGCGGAUCAGAAUGCCGCGGUGAAUACGUUCCCGGGUCUUGUACACACCGCCCGUCACACCAUGGGAGUCAGUAACGCCCGAAGCCGGUGACCCAACCUAUUCUGGAGGGAGCCGUCGAAGGCGGGACGGAUGACUGGGGUGAAGUCGUAACAAGGUAUC
rnacentral:rRNA from 1 species